rnacentral:rRNA from 1 species
UACAUGGGGUGCAAGCGUUGCUCGGAAUCAUUGGGCGUAAAGCGCACGUAGGCGGCCAACUAAGUCAAACGUGAAAUCCCUCGGCUUAACCGGGGAACUGCGUCUGAUACUGGAUGGCUUGAGUUUGGGAGAGGGAUGCGGAAUUCCAGGUGUAGCGGUGAAAUGCGUAGAUAUCUGGAGGAACACCGGUGGCGAAGGCGGCAUCCUGGACCAACACUGACGCUGAGGAGCGAAAGCCAGGGGAGCAAACGGG